rnacentral:rRNA from 1 species
UACGUAGGGGGCAAGCGUUGUCCGGAAUCAUUGGGCGUAAAGCGCGCGUAGGCGGCCCGGUAAGUCCGCUGUAAAAGUCCAGGGUUCAACCCUGGAAAGCCGGUGGAUACUGUCGGGCUAGAGUCCGGAAGAGGCGAGUGGAAUUCCUGGUGUAGCGGUGGAAUGCGCAGAUAUCAGGAGGAACACCAAUAGCGAAGGCAGCUCGCUGGGACGGUACUGACGCUGAGGCGCGAAAGCGUGGGGAGCGAACAGG